rnacentral:ncRNA from 2 species
CCACCCCUGUCAGGAGAGCGCCUGACUUGCUUCCAAUAUGAAACAAGUCAGGCCGCCGAAGGCGCAGGCGGUUUGAAAAACUGCUGAACGCUCAGGCAAAAGGACUGACAAAACGCU